rnacentral:rRNA from 1 species
ACGAACGCUGGCGGCGUGCUUAACACAUGCAAGUCGAACGGAAAGGCCCUGCUUGCAGGGUACUCGAGUGGCGAACGGGUGAGUAACACGUGGGUGAUCUGCCCUGCACUUCGGGAUAAGCCUGGGAAACUGGGUCUAAUACCGGAUAGGAGCCAUUUUUAGUGUGAUGGUUGGAAAGUUUUUUCGUUGUAGGAUGAGCUCGCGGCCUAUCAGCUUGUUGGUGGGGUAAUGGCCUACCAAGGCGGCGACGGGUAGCCGGCCUGAGAGGGUGGACGGCCACAUUGGGACUGAGAUACGGCCCAGACUCCUACGGGAGGCAGCAGUGGGGAAUAUUGCACAAGGGGCGCAAGCCUGAUGCAGCGACGCCGCGUGGGGGAUGACGGCCUUCGGGUUGUAAACUCCUUUCGCUAGGGACGAAGCUUUUUGUGACGGUACCUAGAUAAGAAGCACCGGCUAACUACGUG